UCGUACGAGAGUUUUUAACUCAAGUGGCGGACGGGUGAGUAACACGUAAGAAUUUGCCUUUAGGAGGGGGAUAACAACUGGAAACGGUUGCUAAUACCCCAUAUGCUUUCGAGUGAAAUGGAUUUAUCCGCCUAAAGAGAAGCUUGCGGCUGAUUAGCUUGUUGGUGAGGUAAUGGCUCACCAAGGCGACGAUCAGUAUCUGGUUUGAGAGGACGAUCAGACACACUGGAACUGAGACACGGUCCAGACUCCUACGGGAGGCAGCAGUGGGGAAUUUUCCGCAAUGGGCGAAAGCCUGACGGAGCAAUACCGCGUGAGGGAUGAAUGCCUAUGGGUUGUAAACCUCUUUUUUCAGGGAGGAACAAAAUGACGUGUACCUGAAGAAUAAGCAUCGGCUAACUCCGUGCCAGCAGCCGCGGUAAGACGGAGGAUGCAAGUGUUA
rnacentral:rRNA from 1 species